GAAAACUGAGCCUCAGAGAGGGGAGGUGACAUGCUCAAAGUCAUUGGAGCUACGGUGAGAGCUGGGAUUCCGCCCCUGAUGGUCUCAUGGGGUCAUGCGGACGAAGACUCACAUUAUGAAUUGCCUCCCUGGAGAAACCACCCCCUCCUUCGCCAAAGAAGGCCUUGAUCCAAUAAACCAACUUUUAACGGAACAGCAUCUUUCAAUCGAAGGAUGAUGGCAACUUAUCUCUGGGUCCUAGCUCUGUGGUGACAUGAAUUCUCUGAGCUGCUCAAUCUCACUCAAGCUACAUAGUUCAGGAGGGACACUCUCCUCCUGCUUUACCAACUGCUCCCUCUUCUGAGCAUGCUCACAGACCUUCCAGCCACCCUGGGCCCUCCCUUUCACCAUGUUGCCUCCAUGAAGAGGAGUGUCCUGAAGCCCAGAGAGGAAGACGGAUUCACGCAAGGCCACCCAGCAAGUCUGGUUACUUCAUCCCAAGCAGAACAUCUCCCCUCUUAGCUAUGAUCAGAAAGAGACUUGGCAUCAGCAUGGACCCUUCCGUAAAGAUUCUGGCUCUUUCUGCUGCUGAAAUCGGAAAGAUGAAUGAGUGGUACCGUGGAGCCAGAAAAAGUAUGAGAUAAAGUGAUGGCACCCUCCUCUCAUUUUCUCUUUCUACUAAAAGAAGACAGC